UGGGGAAUAUUGGACAAUGGGCGCAAGCCUGAUCCAGCAAUGCCGCGUGUGUGAAGAAGGCCUUCGGGUUGUAAAGCACUUUUAUCAGGAACGAAAUACCACGGGUUAAUACCCUAUGGGGCUGACGGUACCUGAGGAAUAAGCACCGGCUAACUUCGUGCCAGCAGCCGCGGUAAUACGAAGGGUGCAAGCGUUAAUCGGAAUUACUGGGCGUAAAGGGUGCGUAGGCGGUUCGUUAAGUCUGUCGUGAAAUCCCCGGGCUCAACCUGGGAAUGGCGAUGGAUACUGGCGAGCUAGAGUGUGUCAGAGGAUGGUGGAAUUCCCGGUGUAGCGGUGAAAUGCGUAGAGAUCGGGAGGAACAUCAGUGGCGAAGGCGGCCAUCUGGGACAACACUGACGCUGAAGCACGAAAGCGUGGGGAGCAAACA
rnacentral:rRNA from 1 species